rnacentral:lncRNA from 1 species
AGAGAUCCUUUUAGCCCUCCGGUUCAGCGGCGGCCAUGACAAUGAAAUGUGCAUGUCUCAAGUGUGAUGCACUAGGUGUACUGGGCCGACAAAAGUUCGAGUGAUUGCGUUGCCAUCACCAACUAAAGAACAGAUAAUAGAACUUUUUCUUCUUACUAACUUUGUCAAAGAGGCUAAACAAUCAAUGACCAAUAACAAUAUUGCAGGACUAUGUUGCAAUUUAUGCUAUAUGUGUGUGCAAGACUGUUGGAACUAUCACGUGUGUGAAAGACUAAGUUGGAUUUUAUUUUCAUUUCUAU